GUUGCCGGAGAGCUGAAAUGGGGGGCUGAGUUCUGCCGGAAUCUGUGGGGAUUGGUGGUUCGGGAAUCAAAACCGCGGAUAAUAAUCGAGAGCUGCUCGAUUUCUGACGAUCGAUUCCCGAUUCCACCCAUUCCUAUAGGUUUCGGGAUUUACCCCCUUUUCAUAUCCUGCGUUCUGUUCAAGCCGUUACCGUACUUAGGGUUCCUCCGGAGGUUCUUCUCCACAGAUCUACCCUUGCGAACUAACAACAUCGCUACGAAGGGGAUUUUGAAGCAAAAACUUCAGCUGUUUACAGAUCUAGUUCCGAUUCUUUGCGUUUGAUCAGAUCUGAAGCUUUAGAUUUCUUAUUUGAAUUCGCGACUUAGUAGAUCUGGUAAUUGGGUUAAAUUUCGUAUAAUAAGAAGACAGUUGUUCAUUGUAACUCAGAAAUAGCUUUCAGAUCCAUGCACGAUCCUUAUGUCUAAUAAAGAAAAUAAGUUUUCAAUUCCUUGUUUGAAUUUACGACUCUGUAAAUCUGGUGAUUGGAUCAAAUUACGUGUAAUAGAACGCAAUUAUUUCGUUGUAAUUAAGAAUCGGAUGCUUCAUGAUAUGCAAAGAAGAACAAAUGGAAUCUGAUGCAAA